AGUUCUAAUGAAGGUGCUUCUGAAGCAGAAUUACCCAAGCAGCUGUUCUUGUGUGAGGUCUGGACACGGGAAAAUUGCCUUUGAGGAGCCAAAUCCCUGCAGCCGGGCUGGGUGCUGCACGCGGGAAGAGGGUCAGGCCCCACGCUGCAGCCACCUGCAUCACGAGCUCACGGGCACAGUGAUGGCUGCCCUUCAUCCCAUGUGCUCAGCCCCGCGCCUCCGCGGGCAGCGGGAGGAAAGGGUUAAGGAGCUGCCAGCGGGGAUGAGGCGAGGGAAUUCAGCUGCUGACGCAGCUCAGGCAGUAAAAAGACUCAGAACGAGUAGUGCUCAAACGGGUGGCAUGGGAAGAAACGGGCGGCCGAGACGUGGUGCUGUCAGGGAUGUUCUCCUGCGUGGCGUGGGAUGGCUGAGCACGGCACAGCGUGGCACAGCACGGCACGGCAUGGCAUUGCCAUCGCAUGGGGUGGCAGAGGGGUGGCCCGCCGGCAGCAGCCAGCUUGCACACGGCUCUGCUGAGCCACCGCUGUCAGAGAACAGAGGCUGCUGUGGCAUUGGAACAUUGGCUCUGGAGCUCCUGAGAGCGGCCUGAGCAUGGGUUGCUCCCACCUUGCUGCCCCCAGAGCCGGUUACCAAGCCAGGCCCUAUGGAAUACAAUAGAAUAAUCGAUGGUCCAUUGUUGCUGGGCUUAAUUUAGCCAUUCAGGCGGGGAAGGAACAAUGUGAGCGUACGUAAGCAGGAGAAAAAGCAGCAGAUGAAUCAGCCCCGAGCCCUCUGUGUGCAGGGGCUGAGCGAGGCAGGCAGACGGACGCAUCUGCAGCAGUGCAGGUAAUGGGGAUGUACUUCGCUUUGUGCAAUGCCAGGUCUAAAAUGGCUGCGGCUGUGCUUGGUGUUAAGCAGCGGCACGGCCACGAAUCCCUCUCAAGCUGACCCAGCAGCCCGGAUGGAGCUCUGGGGGGACACAGCCUGGGAGGGGCAGCCCCACAGCCACGCCACGAGCGGGGCACCGUCCCAGGACACCCCCAGCACGCGCUCAGCCCGACCCGAAAGGUCCCAUAAAUGGCACCGUGGAGUGCCCCAGCACCCAUCCGCCCCACAGCCCAGCUCAGAGCCCACGUCCCUCCCACUGCCCUGCUGCUCAC